AGUGAAAUGGGAUGAGCUCAGCACCGAAUCCGGUUGUCNAAAGGCGAUCGUGAAAUGUGGUGUUUGGGAGGGCUCUGUCCGUGUCCGGUGUCGGUCCAAGUCUUCUGGAAAGGAGCUCCAUGGAGGGUGACAGGCCCGUGCGACCGAUUGCCGCGCUCGCGGACGAGUCCUCCUUCGAGUCGGGUUGCUCGCUAAUGCAGCCCCAAGCAGGUGGUAAGCUCCAUCUAAGGCUAAAUAUGACCACGAGUCCGAUAGUCCACAAGUACAGUGAUGGAAAGUUGAAAAGUACUCUGAAGAGAGAGUCAAAUAGCCCGUGAAGCUGCCAGUAUGGGAUUAAGCGCACGUAUGACGCGUGUCGUCGGCCAAAUAGGCGACUGCUGGGUGUGCACACUGUUCUUUAGAGAGAUGUAUAUAUAUACUUACUCUCUUGAAUAGUGUAUGAAUGCUCGACAGAACGCUUCCCUUUGGUCGGCAUCGACAGGUCGUGGCUUCGUUGUCCAUGGUCUUAUUGCCGAUGGGUGAUGCGCACAGCCGUGCUGAGCGAUGCUUAGUUCGUAAGGAUUAAGUAGCGUGUUCCGUUGAAAAUUUGCGCUCAAUGAGCGACAACGGUCGGCUUGGUGUGUGCUGAAAUAUGCUCGUCGAUGGCGAACGACCGGGCGACGGCUAGCGCAAACUGGAGACUUUUAUCAGUCUCUGCUCGGCCUUUGCGUCGUUAUGUGCGGCCCGUCUUGAAACACGGACCAAGGAGUCUAACAUGUGAGCGAGCGAUUGAGAUUGUCGAAUCUCAAACGCGCAAUGAAAGUAAAGUGUCGUCUGACGGCACGAGCGGAGAUCUAUUGUCACUUGUGAUAAUGGCGCAUCCGCGGGCCGCGCCAUCGGCUAGCUUGCUAUCUGCUUGCAGAGUGCACUGCUGAGGCGCGGACCUAGAGCCCACACGUUGGGACCCGAAAGAUGGUGAACUAUGCCUGGCCAGGAUGAAGCCAGAGGAAACUCUGGUGGAGGUCCGCCGCGAUUCUGACGUGCAAAUCGAUCGUCUGAGCUGGGUAUAGGGGCGAAAGAGUGAAAUGGGAUGAGCUCAGCACCGAAUCCGGUUGUCRAAAGGCGAUCGUGAAAUGUGGUGUUUGGGAGGGCUCUGUCCGUGUCCGGUGUCGGUCCAAGUCUUCUGGAAAGGAGCUCCAUGGAGGGUGACAGGCCCGUGCGACCGAUUGCCGCGCUCGCGGACGAGUCCUCCUUCGAGUCGGGUUGCUCGCUAAUGCAGCCCCAAGCAGGUGGUAAGCUCCAUCUAAGGCUAAAUAUGACCACGAGUCCGAUAGUCCACAAGUACAGUGAUGGAAAGUUGAAAAGUACUCUGAAGAGAGAGUCAAAUAGCCCGUGAAGCUGCCAGUAUGGGAUUAAGCGCACGUAUGACGCGUGUCGUCGGCCAAAUAGGCGACUGCUGGGUGUGCACACUGUUCUUUAGAGAGAUGUAUAUAUAUACUUACUCUCUUGAAUAGUGUAUGAAUGCUCGACAGAACGCUUCCCUUUGGUCGGCAUCGACAGGUCGUGGCUUCGUUGUCCAUGGUCUUAUUGCCGAUGGGUGAUGCGCACAGCCGUGCUGAGCGAUGCUUAGUUCGUAAGGAUUAAGUAGCGUGUUCCGUUGAAAAUUUGCGCUCAAUGAGCGACAACGGUCGGCUUGGUGUGUGCUGAAAUAUGCUCGUCGAUGGCGAACGACCGGGCGACGGCUAGCGCAAACUGGAGACUUUUAUCAGUCUCUGCUCGGCCUUUGCGUCGUUAUGUGCGGCCCGUCUUGAAACACGGACCAAGGAGUCUAACAUGUGAGCGAGCGAUUGAGAUUGUCGAAUCUCAAACGCGCAAUGAAAGUAAAGUGUCGUCUGACGGCACGAGCGGAGAUCUAUUGUCACUUGUGAUAAUGGCGCAUCCGCGGGCCGCGCCAUCGGCUAGCUUGCUAUCUGCUUGCAGAGUGCACUGCUGAGGCGCGGACCUAGAGCCCACACGUUGGGACCCGAAAGAUGGUGAACUAUGCCUGGCCAGGAUGAAGCCAGAGGAAACUCUGGUGGAGGUCCGCCGCGAUUCUGACGUGCAAAUCGAUCGUCUGAGCUGGGUAUAGGGGCGAAAG
rnacentral:rRNA from 1 species